CCUACGGGAGGCAGCAGUGAGGAAUAUUGGUCAAUGGGCGUAAGCCUGAACCAGCCAAGUCGCGUGAGGGAUGAAGGCUCUAUGGAUUGUAAACCUCUUUUAUAAGGGAAUAAAGUGCAGGAUGUGUCCUGCUUUGUAUGUACCUUAUGAAUAAGGAUCGGCUAACUCCGUGCCAGCAGCCGCGGUAAUACGGAGGAUCCGAGCGUUAUCCGGAUUUAUUGGGUUUAAAGGGUGCGUAGGCGGCCUGUUAAGUCAGUGGUGAAAGUGUGUGGCUCAACCAUAGAAUUGCCGUUGAAACUGGGAGGCUUGAGUAUAGUAGAGGCAGGCGGAAUGCGUGGUGUAGCGGUGAAAUGCUUAGAUAUCACGCAGAACCCCGAUUGCGAAGGCAGCCUGC
rnacentral:rRNA from 1 species